rnacentral:misc_RNA from 1 species
AUCGGCGGCGAUCUUCCUCCGAAUUCGUAUUCCUGAGCUUCUUCUCUGUUACUAUUGUAAAUUCAAUGGGGAAGAAAAAAACAGAUGAGGCUGGUGUAAGUGCGAAGGCUAAGGGAAGCAGCAAAGAUUCCAAGGAAGGGAAAAAGGAGAAGCUUUCUGUCUCUGCCAUGCUUGCCAGCAUGGACCAGAAACCUGAGAAGCCCAACAAAGGAUCUUCAGCCACUGGUGCUAGUAAGGCCAAGCCUAAAGCAGCUCCAAAAGCAUCAGCUUACACUGAUGGAAUUGAUCUUCCUCCCUCUGAUGACGAGGAAGAGGAGUAUCUUCCUGGCCCCGAAGAAGUGGAAGAACAGAUUGAUGGUAAUAGAAGGCAUAAAAGGAAUGAAGCAGGACCAAUUGAUACCUCCAUAAGUUAUAAAGAGCUAAAGAAACGAGAAAAGAAGGAUAUGCUUGCUGUUCAGGCAGCUGAGGUGGCAAAAAAGGAGGCCCUUAGGGACGAUCAUGAUGCUUUUACUGUUGUUAUUGGUAGCAGGGCAUCUGUCCUUGAAGGUCAAGAUGAUGCUGAUGCAAAUGUUAAGGAUAUAACUAUAGAGAAUUUCUCUGUAGCAGCUCGUGGAAAAGAUCUUUUAAAGAACACAUCAGUUAAGAUAUCUCAUGGGAAGAGAUAUGGUUUAGUUGGUCCCAAUGGAAUGGGCAAGUCCA